UAGGUCUCCUGAGUCAGUGGAGUCCAGGGAUGCUGGCAGCUCAGUGCUGCCUGGAAAGCCCUGGGGCCUCUACCACCUGGUCUAGCUGAGGUGGAUUCAGCUUUGAUUGCUGGGUAGGGAGGAGAGCACCAGAGCACCUUAGAGUCACUGCUUCCCAGUAUAGAAGUUCCCAUCCUCAGUGACUUUCAAGGGACUAAUACUACAGUCAGUGAAAAUGGUUCUCCGUCAUCUACUAGAUGAAUGAAAGCACAGGCGAUAAAACACAAGAUAAUUUCCUGAAGAGCUUAAGCUGUUCACAGGAGCUGGCUGUUGCUUUGCCUAUCUUCACAAAACAGUGAUUACAGAAGUGUUCUUCUGGUUCCUGGAAUCCUACCUUAUUUAAAAUGCAAGGGGAUGCUUUAAUGAAGAACAGCUGGCUUCAUCCAGCAUGGAAACUACAAUCAUUGGCUGUACUGCCUAACCAAACUUGGAAUGCUAUAUCUGCAUUUGCAAGCAGGGCAGCCAUCAAACUGUCAUCAGAAAAAUGAACAAUGGGGACAUCACUGGAGAACAGAAUAUUUUUGUUUAUACCUUAAGGAAUAUAAACUAGCCAUAGUGCUGACUGAAAGAAAGUAAAAUACUGCAAAAAACGCUGAAAAAACAAUCCUGAAAUGUAGUACAAAAAUGACUAAGUGUGUAGUAUAGGUAUUAAA